GGAGAAACAGGGACACUACGAAUCACGGCGUCUGUGGCAGCAUGUCACCUCAGCUCUGAGAUCAGGAAACAUUGACUCUGCUACAGAGCACAAACACUGUCUGGAGGAGAGGCAGAGAGCAGAGGGCCGACAGAGAGCAGCCUCCAACACACCCUGGACACCCAAGUACUUCAUCAAGGAGGGCGAGGGCUGGGUGUAUCACAACCCCUUGUGGAAGACCCACUGACGAGGGGAGGGGCCUCGGGGGGGAGGGGCAACGUGCCAGCUGCCAAUCACAGCACAGAGAGCGGCCUGCUGGUGGUCACGGCAACACACAGGGGACCAGCUAGCCGGGCCACUAGAGACUAGAGGAAAUAUACAAGGGGCCUGUGUUCAAAAUGGAACCCUAUUCUCUAUAUAGCGGACAACUGCAGAAGGAGUGCACUAUAUAGGGAAUAGGGUGCUAAUUUCAGAUUUGCCCAAGGAUUGUCUUGGAUGAGGAGCUUGUGUCUCAGUCAUUCAAUAAGAAUGAGAGGUGCCAAAGACUCUCAGAGGGACAGGAACUACAGUCAAGACAGAAAAAGCUCACUGAGUUUCCCUGUCAGAAGCUGACCUGCUACCACACGAUACAGGAAACUCGGCGGCCAUUUUGGAGACGGACCGGGUCGAACCAGGAAGAGGUUGGUUAGGGACAGAAGAUGAGCGUGAUCGUUGGUGGUCAGAGAUAGCUGAACAAUUAUGUAGCUUUAAAAAAAUAUAUAUAGUAGAAUCUAAAUACCAGAAGAAUAUAUUACAUUCACAUGCUUCUUCCUUCACUUUCAAUUUGUUUGCACAGGUACUGUAGCUGUCUCCACUGUUAUUACCCAGUAGGCCACAGGAGGGGUUGUCCUUCCAGCUGUCCCCACUGUUAUUACCCAGUAGGCCACAGGAGGGGUUGUCCUUCCAGCUGUCUCCACUGUUAUUAC